UGAGUUCUCCCUGAGACUUAGAGUCUCCUGAAGGAACGUUGAAGACGACGACGUUGAUAGGCCGGGUGUGUAAGCGCAGCGAUGCGUUGAGCUAACCGGUACUAAUGAACCGUGAGGCUUAACCCUACAACGCCGAAG
rnacentral:rRNA from 1 species